GGACGCCCGGCUGGCUGCCCGGCUGGCUGCCCGCCCGGCCCUGCGGCGCCGACGGCGACAGGGACAGCGACAGUCCCCCCCAGCAGCACAGAGCCACCAGGGGCCACAUGGCGUGGCGGCGGGCGCGGGAGGCGCCGGCAGCUGCGGGAGAAGAGCUGCUGGUGGCCCCCUGACGCCCCACCUCUUCCCUACUCGGAGCCGCGUCCGGCCUGCCUCUCUGUCUCCCCACCGGCCUCCCCGCAGGGAGGAUGCGCUUGCGGGUGGGAGGUUUGAAGGGUCCAUAUGCUCUGGUCUCGCUCCUGGCUCUGUCACAGUCUCCCUCUCUCGUUCAAGGGCACACUUCAGCAGCCUGAGGACUCAGUUUUUCAACUUUCAAGAGGCUCCAAAGCAUCCAAGAAGUGGCCUUCACAAACAUGACUGGAAACUACUUUUCUGAAUGAGUUGUGCAAUUUCAUAAUUUCCGGAGGUAAUGAAGUUUUAAGGAGUAAGAGGAAGAAGGUUGGGGCAUGUAGAGCAGUUCUUCCCAAUUGCAACUGAAACUCACAAGCAGGAGAAGUGUGAUUUUUCUCUGUGGUUAAAGAAAGGACUCCCAUUUCGAGGCAUACAGCUACCUUAUUAAAAUUCACACAACUUCUAGUAUUGCAUAUGAAUAUGAAGUAUUUUGGAUGUGCAUUUAUGUUACUAUGAUGAAAAUGCUGCUCUCAGACAAGAAAUUAUCUACAGCUUGGUGGAGACAGUUGGAAAGAGGUGUGAUGGUGUCCUGGUUGGAGAGUUGUGAGUGCCUUUGCCUGGGGAAGUUAUGUGGAUGUGGAUGUGGAUGGCCUACGCACGUCAUCAUGGUUUUGUUCCUGGUGAUGAACACCUUUUUGUGGAUAUAACACCUUCUCUUCUUGUAUACUUUUGCUGUUGUUAUGGCGCAUGUCUUAUUUCACUCUUUUGUGCUUUCUAUAAAUCAUUACCUCAACCCA